rnacentral:lncRNA from 10 species
CCUGCGGCGCGCGCUGCCAGCCCGAGGGCCCCGCCGUCCAGGGGUCCCCUGACAUCUCACACUUGCGGACUGAAGCUGCGAGGAGCGGAGAACCCGGCCAGGGUCACGGACGGGAGCGUCCGGACUCGGGUUCUCUGGGCCCCAGCCCCCACUCCGCCCCCAGCGAAUCCAAGGUCCCCUGUAGGGAAGGGCCGUCCACACUCCCCAUCCCUUACUGGCUGCAUCCACUGAAGCCCAGACCUGCUGCCUGCAGGACCUCACCCAGGCACCAGGUCGUGCCUGGCGCCUCCUUGAUGCCAGGCCCUGGGGAGACCUGUGGCCACAGAACCCAUGUUCUCCCUGGAGAUGGACAGGAGGCCCCUCUCCUACGCAGAAGCUGUCGUUUUUUCUUCUUAAACACCGUUUGCCCCUCCCUCCACCCACCGAGCCAUCUCUGCCCCUCUCUACAGCAAAGCUUCCGCCAAGCCGGCCCUGCUCCCUGUCUACCUCUCCUGCCACCACCCACUCACACGUUUUAAAUACAAGCCGUCGGUUCUCAGA